rnacentral:lncRNA from 1 species
UCAAGCUAUGAUUUCUGGUGAACAGAAGGAGGCUGAACGAUUGAGCCCCAUUGCUGAGGUUUCAGAGGAGAAAAGCUGUUCAGAAACUCGGAAGAGAAAGAAUAUUGUCGAUCUUGAAUUUGAUGUUGCUGGUAUCACAAAUUUGUCUCCAAGACAAAGGCUUUCUGACAUUUCAGAUGUUCAUUGCAGCGAGUCACCUCUUACGACUUGCUAAAGAGGGAGCGAGUAACUUUUGUUGUCAAUUCAAUUGUCAACUUGGAAAACUCUUUUUGGUCAAAAUUAUUAUUGUUUUAUGGCAGGGAAUGUUAUAAUGAUUUUAGGAGGCUCUUUUAGAGAGACUAUUAUGUUAUGAGUGUGGUAUACAGUAUAUUUCAACUCUGAAAUAUGUCCGCAUAAUUAAGGAUCCACUUCACAGACCUUAUAGUUGUGUCAUUGUAGAAUCCAGUAAAGUAACCUUGGUUUGUGCUUCUACUAUUAUGCAUAUUUUUCCCAGCAUUUUUUAUACCUUGCAAUGUUUGCAAAAUCAACAAAUUGUAAAUCUGUAUUCGAAUAUGUAAUUAAUCUCUGAAACAUAAACAUGAUUUGUCCUUGUUGUAAAAUCUGCAAAUCCAGCUAAUUGGAGAACUAGCAAUGGAAUAGCCAUUCAAGAAUGACACCAACAUCGUCUGACCAAACAAAUGAAGGUCCAUUAUGAUUCAAGGUUCCAAAAUGUUAUUGGAGUAUUGGUUGAUCUUAUGAUGGGAAGGGUGGAUCGGUGAUUUGGUAACAUGUUCGGUGAAUGGGUGUAUAUGGAGGUCCUGUUCCUCUGCCUACAUAAUCACCAUCCUAACUAUCCAUAACAACUUAAUCUACAUUUGAUUCCAAAUUACCUCAUUGAAAGCAUUCUCCAGGAAUUUACUAGAUCAAAAUUAACAACCAAAUAAUAAUAAGGUAGCAUUAUUUCCAAAAGCUUAAUCUAACAUUUUUGCUCUAUGAAUUCUUCUGUCAAAUAUAAACUGUGAAUGCAGAAGGUGCCAUGGAACAAAAGUUGGAAUCCACUAUGGACUAACCUUCUUCUCCGGGGCCAGGCCAAUAAGAGAGGAAUGUGCUGGUGAUUCACCAGCCCUGUCUGAAAUUGUACACCAGUGCUGUUGCCUGUUCUGCUGCUGCAGUGGUGAUUCAUUACCUGCUGCUGCAGUGGUGAUUCAUUACCUGCAGCUGCAUUAUACACAUAGAGAGCGAUUUUCUAAUGUGUCCAAUGUCACAUGUUAAGAACACACUCAAUUGAAUAAGUUUUCAUUAGAAAACUGAAUCAGUG